rnacentral:rRNA from 1 species
CCGGGCGACCUACCCAUGAGCAGGAUGAAGCGAAAGUAAAAUUUCGUGGAGGUCCGAACCCACGAGCGUUGAAAAGCUCGGGGAUGACUUGUGGGUAGCGGUGAAAUUCCAAUCGAGCCCGGAGAUAGCUGGUUCUCCCCGAAAUAGCUUUAGGGCUAGCCUCAAGGUGAGAGAUACGGAGGUAGAGCACUGAAUGUCCUAGGGGGUAUUGCACCUACCGAAGACUAUUAAACUCCGAAUGCCGUCAUCUUAUACUUGGGAGUCAGACUGUGGGUGAUAAGAUUCAUAGUCGAAAGGGCAACAGCCCAGAUCGUCAGCUAAGGUCCCUAAA